rnacentral:rRNA from 1 species
AUUGAACGCUGGCGGCAUGCCUUACACGUGCAAGUCGAACGGCAGCACGGGAGCAAUCCUGGUGGCGAGUGGCGAACGGGUGAGUAAUAUAUCGGAACGUGCCCAGUCGUGGGGAUAACGUAGCGAAAGCUACGCUAAUACCGCAUACGAUCUAUGGAUGAAAGCGGGGGAUCGCAAGACCUCGCGCGAUUGGAGCGGCCGAUAUCAGAUUAGGUAGUUGGUGAGGUAAAGGCUCACCAAGCCGACGAUCUGUAGCUGGUCUGAGAGGACGACCAGCCACACUGGGACUGAGACACGGCCCAGACUCCUACGGGAGGCAGCAGUGGGGAAUUUUGGACAAUGGGCGCAAGCCUGAUCCAGCAAUGCCGCGUGCAGGAUGAAGGCCUUC